CUUAUGCCCAUCUCAGAUCACCGCUCUACCUUUCUAACGAGAGUUUGAGUAGGACAGAAAUGAGAGUGGAUUCCUCAUACCGGCGACCCCAAUUUCCGGACAAACCACACUUCACGACCACCACCUUCGUCUCCUAACGACGAUGGCAGCGGCUUCUUCUCCCUGACCCGACGUUUCAAGUCACAUCAGCAGUUGAUGGCAGUUCUAAGGUGAUGUCUGGGUGUCUUAACUUCGGUGACGAUGAUGAUAAUGGGCUCAAGAUGAACGAUGGUCUCAUUGUAUCGCUCCCCUUUUGCGAGAACUGCCAUUCAUUCUUGGAUUUGGGUUUAGGGUUGUUUUUUUGAGGUUGUUUUGCUGAGCUAUGGACUAUGGUUAUGCGAAAAUCAGCCUUCAGAUUCACUUACAAGCAAAAGGUAUGGGCAGCUAAAGAACCUUCACAAGAACCGGAAAAAGACGCAAGCCCAUAUCAGAGAAAGAGAGAGAGAGCAAUAGAAAGAAUGCAUAGGGAGAAAGGGAACUGAUUCCACGGUGGGUUCAGCGGAGCUGCUGAGAUGGUUUUCCAUGGCGGUGGUUUACCGAAGAAGACGCAGUGGCAUCCGGCGGUCCGGCGCAUAGCGGAGUGUUUCGGAGUUGAUUUUCUGUUUGAGUGUUUCAGAGAAGAAGAAGAAGAAAAAGAUAUAGAAGAAGAAGAAGAAGAAGGAGAAGAAGAAAGGUCACCAUGAUAACCGCGAUAGAAGUAGUAGCAGCGACAACUAUUAGAUCUCAAUUGUCUCAUCGAUACGCGUUUAUUUCCAGAUCUAUUUGAUCUCACAAUUCACCAUACUCGAUGAUCUGAGUUUCGAUGGGUCGGGUUUGAAAUACGAUUGGGAUGAGUUUACGGUGGGUGUUGAGGGUGGUUUUAAAGAGAAUGGGAUUAAGAUUGGUGGUGGGGAUGGUUCUGUUUGAGAAGUGACUCCUGUCAAGUAGGAGUGUUCAUAAGCCAUUAUAAAGUGAUCGAACUACCCAAACCGAAACAAGUCGACUGGUUCACCGGUUCGAGCAGCGGUUUUGAAAGCGAAGGUAAAUAACAGAAAGAAUAUUGGAUCGAUGAGGAAGCCGAAGAAGGUUUAUGUUGAAGUUGAAGCCGAAGAAGAGGUGGAUUUGAUGGAGUACAAUAAUGUGAAAGGUAGAAGAAAGAGACUGCUAAACGAGAUGAAUAUGAAGAAGAACAAGGAAGAAUUGAUAAACCCGAGAUAAGUAGUAAAGCUGAGGUGGAUGAGAAACGUGAGGACGGAUUACACACCGAGGAACCAUCUUGUGUAGAGAAUGAGAACAAUGGCGGAGGAGAUGAUGGACCCACUGGAAAGAGUAAGGUUUCAAAGCAAGCUCCUGCGGUUAAACUUACCAGUAAAAAGGAGGCGAAAUCUAAAGCGAAAAAUCUACCCAAAGGAAACAAUCAGAAGCAACAUCAAGAAAUUCUGGGAAUGAAUGCGAUACUUAUGGAGCAGACUUUGAUUCAAGGACCAAGUUACAUAAACAUUUGAAUGACACGGGUCAUGCUACAAUCAAGUCACGUUGACAAUGAAGUUGAUAGAAUUUGCCGAUAUUACACUCUCUAUGAGGAUCUCGGUGGUUUGAAUGGUAUCAGCUUUGCUUAAAGUUAUAGCUUUGAUAGGGUAGGAUUCUACUUAUUGGUGAUAUCACCAGAAAAGAUGCUAAGUGCAUUAUAGUUGUAUUGAAUUGAUAUGGAGGAAAAUAUGUUUGUUAUUUGUUAUAAAAGGGUAAUUGUUCCCUUGCUUCA